UACGUAGGGGGCAAGCGUUGUCCGGAUUUAUUGGGCGUAAAGAGCGUGUAGGCGGCCAUGUAGGUCCGUUGUGAAAACUCGAGGCUCAACCUCGAGACGCCGAUGGAAACCAUGUGGCUAGAGUCCGGAAGAGGAGAGUGGAAUUCCUGGUGUAGCGGUGAGAUGCGCAGAGAUGUGGAGGAACACCGAUGGCGAAGGCAGCCCCCUGGGCCAAUACUGACGCCUCAUGCACGAAAGCGUGGGGAGCAAACAGG
rnacentral:rRNA from 1 species